rnacentral:misc_RNA from 1 species
GGCAGCUGGUGGGAAAGAUAUCCUAAAACAAGCAAAAAGCAGCACAAUGGAUAUGUACGUUAACUUUCCCUUUUCCAAUCCCCAUAGGGAAAUUAUUAAAACUUACAAACUAGUAAUUGCAUCACCAUCAACACAGAUGGCACAUCAUUGGUAUCAACAAAUGGGCAUUUGGUCUAGUGGUAUGACUCUCGCUUUGGGUGCGAGAGGUCCCGAGU